ACGUAGGGUGCAAGCGUUGUCCGGAAUUACUGGGUGUAAAGGGAGCGCAGGCGGGGAGACAAGUUGGAAGUGAAAACCAUGGGCUCAACCCAUGAAUUGCUUUCAAAACUGUUUUUCUUGAGUAGUGCAGAGGUAGAUGGAAUUCCCGGUGUAGCGGUGGAAUGCGUAGAUAUCGGGAGGAACACCAGUGGCGAAGGCGGUCUACUGGGCACCAACUGACGCUGAGGCUCGAAAGCAUGGGUAGCAAACAG
rnacentral:rRNA from 1 species